ACCUCGGUGGUGUAGUGGUAGCACGCGCCCCCAAUAUGGGUGAAACCCGCGUUCAACUCCCGUCUGAGCUC